CGUCAUUCUGGGCAGAGGAGCCUGUACUCUGACUUGUACCAAGAACAGGGGCACGUGAGCGAGCAAGAGACCCCUGGCAAGUACCUGGUACUCCCUUCAGGACCUCAGAAACAACAUGGCGAACUUUAGGACUAACAAAUGUGCUUCACCCAAAUGUAGAAGUGACAGAAGACCACAGUGACGACAAGAUCAUUGACAGCAAAUAAAGACAGGAAUGAAUACGUGCACAUGAAGAAACAAUGGAUUAAGCCAUGAGGCUCAUCGUGUGAAUGAAACAGACAAAUCCACAGAGUUUAGCAAAGCAACUGAACAAUGACAACCACAGAAAAUGUUUAUCAGGAUGUUAAAAUGUUCAAGUGCUGAUGAGAGAACAUUGUCUGAUAUUUGUUUAUAAAAAUAAAC